rnacentral:ncRNA from 1 species
GACUAAUCGAACCAUCUGUAGCUGUUCCUUCCGAAGUUUCCCUCAGGAUAGCUGGAACUCUACCAGUUAUAUUCGGUAAAGUUAUGAUUAGAGGCCUUGGGGACGUAAUGUCCUCAACCUAUCUCAACUUUCAAUGGAUAUGGCGUCGCAGUUUUCUUAGUGAACUGCGGCGUGAAUGCGAGUUCCAAGUGGGCCAUUUUUGGUAAGCAGAACUGGCGCUGUGGGAUGAACCAAACGUGGAGUUAAGGUGCCUAACUUCUCGCUUAUGAGACCCCAUAAAAGGUGUUGGUUGAUAUUGACAGCAGGACGGUGGCCAUGGAAGUCGGUACCCGCUAAGGAGUGUGUAACAACUCACCUGCCGAAUCAACUAGCCCUGAAAAUGGAUGGCGCUUAAGCGAGAGACCUAUACUCCGCCGUCGCGGCAUGUGCGUUGUCUAGCGCCAGGUCGCGACGAGUAGGAAGGACGUGGCGGUUGCGUUGAAGGCUAUGAGCGUAGGCUCGGCUGGAGCUUCCGUCAGUGCAGAUCGUAAUGGUAGUAGCAAAUAUUCAAGUUCGAUCCUUGAAGACUGAAGUGGAGAAGGGUUCCACGUGAACAGUAGUUGGAUGUGGGUCAGUCGAUCCUAAGGUACUGGCGAAAGCCUUGUAUCAUCGGUGGCGAAAAGCUUGCUUUUUGUCCCCGCCCGUCGAAAGGGAAUAGGGUUAAUAUUCCCUAACUGAGAUGCAAAGAUUGUGUUCUUCGGAGCACAAGCGCGGUAACGCGUUCGAACUUGGUAAGUCGCUCAGAGACCGAGCUAGAGUUUUCUUCUCUAGUUAAGGAACGGACUCCCUGGAAUUGGUUCAGCCAGAGAUGGGGACGUUGUUUCCGAAAAGCACCGCGGUUUCUGUGGUGUCUCGUGCUCUCUGAACGGCCCUUUAAACACCAAGGGAGGCUAUUAAUUUGCACUCAAUCGUACCGAUAUCCGCAUUAGGUCUCCAAGGUGAACAGCCUCUAGUCGAUAGAAUAAUGUAGGUAAGGGAAGUCGGCAAACUUGUUCCGUAACUUCGGGAAAAG